GAUUUCAGCGGGACGUAGGGGCUUGGCGCGCUGAGUCGUCUUUCUCCCGCGCUGCGCGCGCCCUCAGCGCCCCUCCGACGCUGCGCCGCCGCCCCUCCCAUGCAGCGCCGCCGGACUCCACGCCGCCCCUCCCACACUGCGCCGCGUCCCUGCGCCGCCCCUCCCGUCCGACGCGGCGCCGCCCUCGGCGCCGCCACGAAGGAGACAGUGGUCCGCGCCAGAGUCCAUUCGAUCCACAACGCAGGAGCCACCCGAAGCCCUCGGCGCUGCCCCCGACGACAUGGAAGAUAGGCAAGGGCUCCGCUACUGGGGCCCCGCGUAGACGCCGUGAAAGAGGGAGACAGGAAGGGUCCAGGUUGCCGCAGAGGAGCGAGUCCUCCUUCGCAGAUCUCCGUCGACACGCUCGCGAGCCCAGAAUUUGGCAAUGGCACAAUUAUCUGACAACAAAAUUACGCAAGUUGGCUUGAGGUUCAAAAGUCCAGACGAGGCUUGGGUGUUUUGGGUGGCUUACGGGGGUAGUACAGGCUUCGAUGUGAGGAAAAGAUACACAAAUAUUAGCAAAUAUGAUGUCAAGAUGACUUCGUGCCGGUUUGUUUGUUCCAAUGAGGGUCAUCGAAGAAAAGGACUAACAGAUCGUGUUACAAAGUGUUUUAGAGCUGAAACAAGAACCGAUUGCAAAGCUCGAAUGACUCUUACAUUGGAUCGGAGGGAAGAAAAUUAUGAAAUUACUGAAGUUGUGCUGGAACAUAAUCACUUGCUUUAGUUGCUCGAGACCUGUCACUUGAUGGCAUCACAAAGGAAAAUUUCAGAACUGCAAGCUUUUGAAAUUGAAACCGCUGAUGAUUCUGGAAUCAGGCCAAAAGCUACACAUGAGUUGGCUAGUCGUCAAGUUGGUGGACCACUCAACCUUGGCUAUACUUGUCGUGAUCGAAAAAAUUAUUUACAAAGAAAGCGGCAAAGGGAGUUGGCUUUUGGGCAGGCUGGAAGUAUGUUGAAAUAUUUUCAUGACAAAAUUGCAGAGAAUCCAUCAUUUCAGUAUGCUUUGCAGCUUGAUUGUGAGGAGCACAUAACCAAUACAUUCUGGGUUGAUGCUAAAAUGAUCCUUGAUUAUGCAUUCUUUGGUGAUGUUGUCACAUUUGACACUACUUUUGGCACAAACAAGGAAUAUAGAACAUUUGGUGUUUUUCUUGGGCUGAAUCAGUUUCGUCAGACCACUAUUUUUGGUGCUGCACUUUCUAUUCGAUGAAACUGAAGCAUCAUUUACAUGGCUCUUUGAGACUUUUCUAGCUGCACAUAAUGGAAAGCAACCUAGAACUAUUUAGACAGAUCAAGAUGCAGCAAUAGGAAAAGCUGUGAAGAAAGUAUUUACAGAGUCAUAUCAUGGAUUGUGUACCUUCCACAUAAUGCAGAAUGCUGUCAAACAUCUAUCUCCAAUUAAGGGCAACGAGGAAGAAGAAGCUGAAAAGGAAGUUCAGGAGGAAGUUGAAGAGGAAGACGAAGAAUUCCAUAUUCUCAAAAAUUUUAGUGCAUGUAUGUAUGGCUAUGAGGACAAGGAUGCAUUUCAAGAGGCGUUGCAUUGCCGCUGGACCGUGGCUGAUGGCUCUAUACCUCUGAACAUGCAGGAAGUAUCAAGUGAAGUGACAACUUUGGCGGCAAGCGCAGCGCAACAAACGCAUACAGUACCUAGAACAUUAUCAAAGGAGCAUGCAAUAGACUAUAGAGGCCCUACUAACUUGAUUCUCUGCAUCAUGAGUCAUAGAUUGAGGUCGUUAGGAACUGAUAGUAGAUGUGCUGAUGUACAGUACAGACAUGAUAAGUAGUUUGCAGGGCAAGUCAAACACGGAGGGUGGGCGAGCAGAAAUGAGAGAAAAAAAAACCCUAAGGGCUACAGGUGUCAUCACGUACGGCAUAGAAAAUGGGGUCAGUUGGA